rnacentral:rRNA from 1 species
UACGUAGGGUGCAAGCGUUGUCCGGAUUUAUUGGGUUUAAAGGGUGCGUAGGUGGCUUGUUAAGUCCGGGGUGAAAGCCCACAGCUCAACUGUGGAACUGCCCUGGAUACUGGCGAGCUUGAGUCCAGACGAGGUUGGCGGAAUGGAAGCUGUAGCGGUGAAAUGCAUAGAUAGCAUCCAGAACCCCGAUUGCGUAGGCAGCUGACUAGGCUGGUACUGACACUGAGGCACGAAAGCGUGGGGAGCGAACAGG